rnacentral:rRNA from 1 species
AACGAACGCUGGCGGCAUGCCUAACACAUGCAAGUCGAACGCCUGUAGCAAUACAGGAGUGGCGCACGGGUGAGUAACGCGUGGGAACCUGCCCUGGAGUGGGGGAUAACCGAGAGAAAUUUCGGCUAAUACCGCAUACGUCCUGAGGGAGAAAGAUUUAUCGCUCUAGGAGGGGCCCGCGUCGGAUUAGCUAGUUGGUGGGGUAACGGCCUACCAAGGCAACGAUCCGUAGCUGGUCUGAGAGGAUGAUCAGCCACACUGGGACUGAGA